UAGGCUCAAACACAUCUUUAUUCAUCAAAAUAGGAAACAUUACAAUCAACACAUUUUUGCCAAUGAGAAAUAAGUUUAUUUAUUCCUGUAGUGUAAAAAUGUGUGAUCUGGGAUUCGAUAAACUCUUGGAAAGCUUUUUCUGCAUUCUGGUUGUGGAAACAUCUUCCCUGCAAAAAGUUGCUGAGAUGCUUGAAGAAGUGGUAGUCAGUUGGCAAGAAGUCAGGUGAAUACGGUGGAUGAGGCAAAACUUUGUGCCCAAUUCAUUCAACUUUUGAAGCGUUGGUUGUGCGACGCAUUGUCAGGCAUUGUUGUGCCGAAGGACUGGGCCCUUUAUGUUGAUCAAUGCUGGCUGCAGGCGUUGCAGCUUUCCAUGCAUCUCAGAGAUUUGUUGAGCAUACUUCUCAGAUGUAAUGGUUUUGCUGGAACUCAGAAAGCUGUAGUGGAUCAGACCGGCAGCAGACCAUCAAACAGUGACCAUUAACAUUUUGGUAGAAGUUUGGCUUUGGGAAGUGCUCUGGAGCUUCUUCUCAGUCCAACCACCAA
rnacentral:lncRNA from 1 species